AACAAUUUGAAAUGCUAGUGAUUUGUACCGAAUACAAACAAUAUGGGUAAGUAAUUUAUAGAUUUUUGGGUUUACUCAUAUAUAAUUCAUACUUCUGUAUUUUUCUUUGGAUUGCUUUAUGAAUAUUAAUGUCAUUAGUAAUUUUUUUUUGUAAUAUCUAUUUUUCUUCCACUUGGUAGAAACACGGAUUAUAGGGUAUAAAGUCCUUAAGUUUGGUUUGUAGACCUGCUUUAGGUUCUAAUUAAUUUCAUCAAUUUGUGUUCUUCGUCAAGCAAUCUUUAAGGUAUGCCCUUCAAUCCUAUUUAUUUUUUGAUGUAAACAGAUGAAUUUGAAGUCUUGGAUGAACAAAUUUGGUUUAGUUUUACUAUCGGUCGAUUCAAUCUUGGUUGUCAGUUUUCGUCUUUCUUGAAAUAUAUCAAUGUUGAAUUAUAGAUCUUGUUUUAUCAUUAGAUUAAUUUUAUUUUGAAUUUUCGGAGAGAGUUGAAUUAUAUUAGAUAUAGGAUUUAGUACAAGGAAUUAGAAAAAAAUUAUGAUCUGAAUAUUAUGAUUUGAAUUGUAUUGUUAUGUUGUAGGGAUUUUAGUUAUGAUAAUCUUGAUAAGAGAGAAGUUCAACUUAUUAGUAACUUGGUUCUUAUAAUCUAGCAAUUCAGGGUUAUGGUUCAAAUACAUGUACCGGGAAAUUUGUAAUUUUGCUUGGAGUUAAUGUCUUUUUUACUUGUUUUGGGUUAAAAGUUGGUUAAGUAAUUUUUUUCUUUGGGAGAUAGAAACUAAAGUUGAUUCAUAUGAGACCAACUUUGCUACUAUUAAUAAGUAACCUGCAUACAUACACGUAUGAAAUAUUCGUAUUAGAUAAUGAUGUCGCAAAAGUUCAUACUGUUACCUGCAUAUGGAAGACCAAAAUGUAGCAGGCUCUUCAUCAGAAACAUAGAAGAGGCUAAGCCAAUCUUUCUACUCCAGAGUGUUCUCUGCUUGAGAAGAAAAGAUUGUCCCAUAACUUACGAGUUGCUUUCUUCAUAUUAUCCAACACUAUCAUUUGUAUCCCAGGAUUGUUAAACUAAAAUAAACCUUCUUUUCUCUACUGCAUUGCAUAUCAUAGCUACCACCACUUGAUCAUUUGGGACAGAAAUGGACUCCUAAGCUAGUACAGUGCUGGUAGAGAUUUGUUCUCGAGGAGGUUUAACAAAUAUAUUACUUAGGUAAUGUUUGAAGAACUAUAUGAGAAAGACCCUUAACUCCAUGACCUUCAUCUACUACAAAAUUUUUUAUAUCCCUCUAGUCAGAUUGAAUUCUUAAAAGUUUUGUAGCCAUAUGUGUUACAAUAAGCAUGAUACUUUUCAAUUCUGAAUUUCUAGCCUGUCUUGCAAUUAAUAUUUUCUUAUUUUGUGAUGGAUGAUGAUUAGAGCUUUCAUUGUGAAUUUAGGCCAAACGCUGUAUUUUCUAGUAGAAGUUUAUCUUUUGGGAAACUAAUUGAAGCAGUUGAAAUGUUGUGGGAUUUAAUUAAUAUUUUCUUAUUUUGUGAUGGAUGUUGAUUAGAGCUUUCAUUGUGAAUUUAGGCCAAAUGCAGUAUUUUCUAGUAGAAAUUUAUCUUUUGGGAAACCAAUUGAAGUGGUUGGAAUGUCGUGGGAUUUAGAUGGUUGGAAGUGGAAAGUUGAUUUAUUGGUUUUUGAAAGUGAGGGAAUUAAUGGAUAUGACAAAAUUAUUUUGCAACGGUUAAAUUGCCUGGAUUUUGGAAUAGUUAAAUUUCCUUGUUUUUGGAAUAAUCAAUGGAAAUUAUUCCCCCCUGGCAUGACCUUCAUUCUAUGUGGUGGUCAAGUAUGUUAUUUGUUAGAGGGACUUUACUAUAUUUCACCCAUAUAUCAGAGUAUGUAUUCAUGCUUUACUCAAUCAUUCAUCUUGCUUUAGCCUCAUGAUUCCAUAUUCAUUGUACUCCUAAUUUUGUUAUGUAAUAUCUAUAUUUUUUUUCUUUGCAAAAAGCAUCAUCAAUGGAUAUAAUGAACCAAUUGAACAAAAAAAUAGUCAUCGUACCAGUUCAUGUCCUUACUCAUACAUAGUGAAAGAGGUGAUAAAGGUAGUGAAUGUAUAUGUUAUCAAUAUGUGCUUAAUUAAAUAAUUUUGCUGAUAAUUUGAAUGUAGUGUUUGAAACAUAAUUGCUAACUAUUAGGACGGUACGAGGUUUUCUGAAGUCGACACCUUUGAGUUCGCUUAUGAAGGAAAUAAUAAAUGUCAUACUUAUAAUGCAGCUAAGGCUCAACACGUAAAAAAGACUCAACGCUAUAACUUUUAUAUUGCUUAUCAUGUGUUAUAUUUCUAGUGUAUAAUUGUAUUAUAUCUCUUACAUAUUUUAGUUAUAUAGACUAUUUUAUAUCACCUAUGGGUUGUGUUUGUAGGAUAAGAUGCUUGUUAAAGAGUAUGAACAUCUUGUAGAGAAGGUAAAGGAGUAGUAGAUUCCCGAAGAUAUCCCUUUCAAGGAAUACCUAUAGAUAAUCCUACUGUUGGACUUAAUAUCAUGAUGUCCGUUCUAAGUACAAAGCCCAGACAUCAAAUUCGUGGGUUGAAAGAUGGUCGCCUUUGAGAUAUUAAAACAUCUUCUUCCAAUGUACGCAAUAUGGAGGAUUUAGAAGCAGAACGUGCUGCUCAAAAGGUUGAAUAUGCAGCUCAAGUGAAAAUGGAGCAAAGGAUACAAAACAAGUUGAAGGUUGUUAAGCAACAAUUCAAUUCUAUUUUGCAAUCUUGGCAUCACUCUAUGCACCAGUUACGUGGUAAAGUACCUGGCUUUGUGGUAACAUCAUUUACACUACUGUCAACAGAGAUUAAUACUACUGAGGAAAAUGAUGCUAUUCAUGAGGACAAAGAGAACAACUUUGAAGAGGAUCAAUUGAAUACCUAAUUUACGAGGAUGAACAGUAGUGUUUUUUAGAUGCAUAAUAAUAGAUAUAGAGGAUGUUUGCUAUAUUAUUUUUAUGUCCAGGUAUAACCAUACUUAGUGAAUGAUUUUUAUUUAUAUUUUUUUUGAAAUAUUUUGGAUUCAAUAUUACAUUGAUUGGCA
rnacentral:lncRNA from 1 species